rnacentral:rRNA from 1 species
GACGAACGCUGGCGGCGUGCUUAACACAUGCAAGUCGAACGGAAAGGCCCUGCUUUUGUGGGGUGCUCGAGUGGCGAACGGGUGAGUAACACGUGGGUAACCUGCCCUUGACUUUGGGAUAACUUCAGGAAACUGGGGCUAAUACCGGAUAGGAGCUCCUGCUGCAUGGUGGGGGUUGGAAAGUUUCGGCGGUUGGGGAUGGACUCGCGGGUUAUCAGCUUGUUGGUGGGGUAGUGGCUUACCAAGGCUUUGACGGGUAGCCGGCCUGAGAGGGUGACCGGCCACAUUGGGACUGAGAUACGGCCCAGACUCCUACGGGAGGCAGAAGUGGGGAAUAUUGCACAAUGGGCGGAAGCCUGAUGCAGCAACGCCGCGUGCGGGAUGACGGCCUUCGGGUUGUAAACCGCUUUCGCCUGUGACGAAGCGUGAGUGACGGUAAUGGGUAAAGAAGCACCGGCUAACUACGUG